rnacentral:lncRNA from 1 species
GGCAUCGGAGGUUCAUUGGCCAAAGCCCUCCCCCAUUCAUUGUGGGUGCGUGAGGCUCUUAGCCUUAACCUAAGGUGUUAAUUGUUUUGUAGGUGCAAAAUUGUCCAAGAUCAAGAAGGAAAAAAUUUGCAUCCACAAUACUCUUCUACAUAGCUCUUACAGAGAGAACUCAAAUCAAAAUUCAAGACAAUUCCUUAAAAGGAUAAAAUCAUAUCAAUAUUAAUACAUGUGUUAUAUAUAAAUGAACGAUAAAUUUAUACCUUAAAUUAUGAUAUUUAAUAUCAUUUACAUACUAUAUUAUGAUCCAAGCCUAUUAAUCAUAUUUACAUGGAAUAUCAAAAGAAGAUUCUCGACGAAUCUUUAAACCAUGCAAUAUCAAACUAUAACCUAGAGCUUUAUUUAUAAAAAAAAAAAACACUAUAAUCUAGAGCUAAUAUUAGGAAAAGUAGUGAAACAUAAACACGACUGAUUUUAUAUUAGGCUCAAUUAAGCAUGAUCUACCAUUAAUAUCAAUGAUAUUAUUCCAACUUCACUACCUAUUAAGUAUUGGGCUUUACCACAAAUAGUUUAAGUGUAUUAAGAGUGAAAAUUCUCAUAUAUUAUUGUAUAUUAUUUUAUUAUAUAAUCGAUGUGAUAUAAAUAUAAAAAUUGUGAUAAGUGCAGUACUACUAUUUGUUAUUUAAGUUGAGGUUUUCAAGUUUGUGUGGUCUGCAUGCUAAUGUUAUUGUCUUGUAGACCACCCUUUGAUUGUAACCUUUUUGACCUGACUGACCAUCUCUUGCCAUGGUCCAAGCUGCACACGCCAUACGAGACAAGGGAAUAUGAUGUGCUCAAUGAGAUCACUAUUUUGUUGUAUAAGCCCGUAAGCGCACAGGCUGUAGAAAAUCGUCAGUUCGUCAAAACUAAUGCUUUGAAGUUUCCAUGCUUAAAAGAAGUUCAUCACUAACUCCCAAUCUAAUAUGAAAUGAAAAAGUUAAUAAAACUAAAUAAAAAAACUUAUAAAGAAAUUGGCUUGGAAAUUGGAAAUUAUGAGGUUAGUAUUAGAGAAUGUGUAACAUAUGGUGUCUCAAAUAGCUAACUAAAUACAUACAUGUUUGUGUGAAAACUUAGCUAAGAGAGUAAACUAGUGCUAGGGUUUCAAAUGGAAAAUAAUCCUGAAAAAUACAUGUAAUUUAUUUUGGUACGUGAAAAGAUGCAGAUUUUGAUAUCAUAUGGCUUUACGAGCAUCUAGGUCGUGGGAAAACCGUGUGAACCUUAUUCUUGUGUGGCAAAAGCAGUUUCAAAACCUGAAUCUCUCAAGUGAAGGUUAAUUAAGAGGAUAAAGUCAACCUUGACAAUGCCAAGUUAUCGUAGGAUGAAGUUGCAAGUUGAGUUUGCAUUGGAUGCUCUCUCUGUAAUACAUUUUCUGCUUGCAUGAGCCAUGAAUUAUGGAUGAGAUGCUUGGUUUAUCAUUUGAAAGUUAUACAAUGAACACACGAGUGGAGCUAGAUACCAAAUUUGAAGCCCAGGUCAAUUUCCCAAUCGCAACAAGUUUUUUUCAGUUGUGAUACUAUAUAGCAAGCCGAAGGCUCAGAUGAUACCUUAUGUUAAGAUUUAUCCUUAGAUUAUUAGAUCAAUCCUAAACUGUUUUUCUGCAUAAAUAGUUUAAGGGAGGGUGUUAAGAUUUAUCCUUAGAUUAUUUAUUUUCAAUAAAGUGGUUACAUGUAGUUAGGAGACUUGUUUACCUAGUCUACAGGAGAAUCCCUAAGUUGUAGGAGUCGUGGUAUGUAGUUCCACAAAAUCUGCAAAGUGGACGUGAUGUUGCUUGCAGCAAUAGACUUGUUUGCUUAUUUAAUUUGUAAUUUUCUCAUUCAAGUCAGUUAAUGAAAUUCAGAGCUUCUCAGCCAUCUCUUUAGCAGCAAGCUUAAGUUUACAGUUUUCAAAAAGUUUAACCAACAUUUGGUACCAGAGCCCCCACUGGGCCUGUGUCGAGAAUCUCUCAUAGAAGCAACAACUUUUUCAUUCUUGCAGUAGCAAGCAUCCAUGGCGUCUGACAAGCCAGCAGAGAAUUUCGUUCAACCAGCCAUUCCUCGCUUCGACGGUCACUACGAUCAUUGGAGCAUGUUGAUGGAGAAUUUUCUAAGGUCCAAAGAGUACUGGGAUCUUGUGGAAACGGGAUAUACUGUACCCGAAGAAAGUACGCUUACGACUGCGCAACAACGUAAGCUUGAAGAACUGAAGCUGAAGGAUCUGAAGGUAAAGAAUUACCUAUUCCAAUCAAUUGAUCGUGCUAUUUUGGAGACUAUUCUCCAGAAGGAUACUUCCAAGCACAUUUGGGACUCCAUGAAGAGAAAGUACCAAGGGUCAGCAAGAGUGAAGCGUGCACAGCUUCAGGCCCUGAGACGAGACUUUGAGACUCUCCAAAUGAAGAAUGGAGAGUCUAUCACCGAGUAUUUUGCAAGGACCAUGGGGAUUGCAAACAAAAUGCGAAUCCAUGGUGACAAGCUUGAUGAUGGCUCCAUUGUAAAGAAGAUCCUGAGAUCUAUGGCUCCAAAGUUCAACUACAUCGUUUGCUCUAUUGAAAAGUCAAAUGACACUGCAGAGAUGUCGAUUGAUGAGCUUCAAAGCUCAUUGUUGGUCCAUGAGCAGCAGCUGAACCGUGGGAUCACAGAACGUGUCAACUUAGAAGAACAAGCUCUGAAAGCUUCUACCUUUUUUAAAUCCUCAAGCUUAAAAGGAAGAGGCCGAGGUAGAGGUAGAGGUAGAGGAAGAGGUCGAGGUGGUCGAGGCAACCGAGAUGGAGACAGACAACACCAAAGUUCCAAGAGACAUGAUGAUCAUUCUCAGAAUAGAGGCACAGGACAAGUUGACAAGUCCAACAUCGAGUGCUAUAGGUGUGGAAACCUUGGGCAUUAUCGCAAUGAAUGCUACACGAAGCUGCCAAAAGACAAAGAGAAAGGAGAGAAGUCCAACUUUGCUGAAAAGAAGGAUGAUGAGACACUGUUAAUGGCUUUCCACGUCAAGGAGGAGAUUGAUUCUAAAGUAUGGGAUGUUGACACAGGUUGCAGCAAUCAUAUGAGUGGUUGUAAGUCAUCUUUCUCAUUUCUGGAUGAAAACUUUCGAACUACCUUAAGCUUUGGGGAUUGGUCAAGUGUUAAUGUGAUGGGAAAGGGUGAUAUUCAAAUUAGGACUAAGAAUGAUUUUGUUGAAACGAUUUCGAAUGUGUUUUAUGUGCCUAGUUUGAAAACAAAUUUGUUGAGUGUUGGACAGUUACAAGAAAAGGGUUAUAUAAUAACUCUUCAGAAAGAUGCAUGUGAGAUAUCUGAUCCAGUAAGGGGCGCCAUUGCUGUUGUUCAAAUGAGCCAAAACAGAUUGUUUCUGCUGAAGAUCAAAACUGUCCAAACUUGUUUGAUGGCUAAGGAAGACGACUCAUCAUGGUUGUGGCACCUUCGAUAUGACCAUUUGAAUUUCAAUGGCUUGAGGACACUGCAUCAGAAGCAAAUGGUGACUGGCCUUCCCAUGAUCACACCUCCAUCUGAAGUCUGCGAAGAAUGUGUUGUUAGCAAACAACAUCGUGAUCCAUUUCCAAAAGGAAAGACAUGGAGAGCACAAACCUAUUGGAGCUAGUGCAUUCAGACAUAUAUGGUCCAAUCACUCAAAUAUCGAAUGGUAAAAAGAAAUAUUUUAUUUCUUUUAUUGAUGACUUCAGUAUAAAGGCUUGGGUGUAUUUUUUGCAGGAAAAAUCAGAGGCUUUUAAUGCAUUUAAAAGCUUCAAGGCACUAGUUGAGAACGAAAGUGGAAGAAGGAUCAAAACCUUGCGAACUGAUCAUGGUGGUGAAUAUUGCUCAAAAGAGUUUGAAGUCUUCUGUGAUGAGCAAGGGAUUUGAAGGCAACUCACUGCUUCAUAUACACCCCAGCAAAAUGGUGUAUCCGAGAGGAAAAACCGAACCAUUCUCAACAUGGUCAGAAGCUUGCUAGUAAAGGGAGGAGUUCCUAAAAGUUUUUGGCCUGAAACAGUUUUGUGGUCCAUUCAUGUUUUGAACAGGUGCCCUACCUUUUCUGUAAAAAACAAGACACCCGAGAAAGCUUGGAGUGGACGGAAACCCUCAGUGGAUCACUUUAAAGUGUUUGGGUGCAUAGCAUAUGCACACAUUCCAGACGAAAAGAGGAAGAAGCUCGACGACAAAGGUGCAAAAUGUGUCUUUCUUGGAGUUAGUGAACACUCCAAAGCCUACAAAUUGUACAACCCAACUACUGAGAAGGUGAUUACCAGCAGAGAUGUGGUUUUUUAUGAAGAAAAGACUUGGGUUUGGUCUGGAAAAGGCAAACAGUAGCAGAAAAUUCCAGCUAAUGAUCAACCUGCAGAUGAUCAGCCACCUCAAAUUCAACGUCUAAGGAAGAGACCAUCUUGGAUGAUUGAUUAUGUAAGUGGAGAUGAACUCUCUGAUGAAGAUACUACUGCACACUUUGCUUUGUUUGUAGAUUCUACCCCUCUUACUUUUGAGGAAACAGUUGAGGACUUAAAAUGGCAAAACGCAAUGAAUUCUGAAAUUAAGUCCUUUGAGAAAAAUAAUACAUGGGAGCUUACUGAUUUGCCUAAAGGUCAGAAGACCAUUGGUUUGAAGUGGGUUUUCAAAACCAAACUGAAUGAGAAAGGUGAUGUGGACAAGCAUAAGGCCCGUUUGGUAGCAAAAGGAUAUAAGCAAGAAUAUGGUGUCGAUUACAAAGAAGUGUUUGCCCCAGUUGCAAGGCAAGACACAAUUCGUUUAGUAAUCUCUAGCUGCUCAAAACUCCUAGCCUAUUUUCCAAUUAGAUGUAAAAUCUGCCUUUUUACAUGGUGAAUUGCAAGAACAAGUGUUUGUCGAUCAACCUCCAGGCUAUGUGCAGCAAGGUGAAGAGAAGAAGGUUUUGAGGUUGAAGAAGGCACUCUAUGGGCUGAAACAAGCACCAUGAGCUUGGUAUAGCCGCAUAGAUGCAUACUUUAUCAAACAAGGCUUCCAAAAGUGUCCAUAUGAGCAUACUUUGUACGUUAAGGUUGGUGAUGAAGGUAAGAUGCUCAUCAUAUGCCUUUAUGUUGAUGAUCUAAUUUAUACUGGAAGUGGUGUUGAUAUGUAUGAUGAUUUUAAGAAGUCUAUGAUGAAAGAAUUUGAUAUGAGUGACUUAGGACUGAUGCACUACUUUCUUGGCAUAGAAGUAGUACAAUCGGCAACUGGUAUUUUUAUUUGUCAAAAGAAAUAUAUUCUUGAAAUAUUGGAAAGGUUUCAUAUGUUGAACUGCAAUCCAGUUGGAACUCCAGCAGAGGUAGGAUUAAAGUUGAGUAAAGAUCUUGAUGGGGAAAGGAUUGACAACACUUAUUUCAAACAGAUAGUUGGAAGUUUGAUGUAUCUAACUUCCACGAGGCCUGAUAUCAUGCAUUCUGUAAGUGUGAUAAGUCGAUAUAUGGAGAAUCCCACUGAGAUGCAUCUCAGGGCAGCCAAGAGAGUUUUUCGUUACUUGAAAGGCACAACAUAUUUUCGGAUUUUUUAUAAGAAAGGAAGAAAGUCAAGUUUCCUUGGUUUUACUGACAGUGAUUACGCAGGUGAUAUUGAUGAUCGUAAAAGCACUUUUGGAAAUGUGUUUUUAAUGAGUUCAGGUGCAAUUUCAUGGUCCUCUAAGAAGCAGCAAAUUGUGACAUUAUCCACAACUGAAGCUGAGUUCGUGGUAGCUGCAUCAUGUUCCUGUCAAGCCAUUUGGUUGAGAAGAAUGCUAGAGGUUCUUGGUAACCAGCAACAAGAUUCAACAACAAUUUAUUGUGAUAAUGUUUCAGCAAUCAAGCUUUCCAGGAAUCCAGUUAUGCAUGGAAAAAGCAAACAUAUUGAUGUUAGAUACCAUUUCUUGCGUGAUCUAUGCAAAGAUGGUGUGAUUGAGUUGCAGUUCUAUAAGAGUGAAGAUCAAGUUGCUGAUCUCAUGACAAAACCUCUCAAACAACCAGCAUUCGAGAAGCUCAGAAGUAUGCUUGGAGUUUGUUCAAGGGAGGGACUCGCACAGGAGUGAAGUAAAGAUGAAGAUCAAUCCUAAACUGUUUUUCUGCAGAAAUCAGUUUAAGGGAGGGUGUUAAGAUUUAUCCUUAGAUUAUUAGAUCAAUCCUAAACUAUUUUUCUGCAGAAAUAGUUUAAGGGAGGUUGUUAAGAUUUAUCCUUAGAUUAUUUAUUUUCAAUAAAGUGGUUACAUGUAGUUAGGAGACUUGUUUACCUAGUCUACAGGAGAAUCCCUAAGUUGUAGGAGUCGUGGUAUGUAGUUCCACAAAAUCUGCAAAGUGGACGUGAUGUUGCUUGCAGCAAUAGACUUGUUUGCUUAUUUAAUUUGUAAUUUUCUCAUUCAAGUCAGUUAAUGAAAUUUAGAGCUUCUUAGCCAUCUCUUUAGCAGCAAGCUUAAGUUUACAGUUUUCAAAAAGUUUAACCAACACCUUAGGCCCUAAUAGUUGACCUAGGUACAUUUAUUCAUGUUUAAUGACGAGAUGACACACAAAAUGAAGUCGUGAUGCAAAAUUGACUUUUUUUAAGUGAAAUUGUUCUUAGGAAACUAACCCUUUUAAUAUGGAAAGGGGCUAUUAUACAUUCAUUUGUAUAGGUCUACAGGGAUUGGACCCAUUUAUAAAUGAAACGGAAGAAAAACAGAGC